GGGCGACUAGCUCAGCUGGGAGAGCAUCGGCGUCACAAGCCGAGGGUCACAGGUUCAAGCCCUGUGUCGCCCACCA
rnacentral:tRNA from 1 species